ACCCUCCGGCUCCCUUUCCCAUCGGAUCUGAACACUGGUCUUGGUGGUCAUAAAAGGAGGAAAAGGAGCACUGAAGCUGGCCUCAUGAUGCUUAUAGUCUGGUAUAUAGGCUGUGGGCUAGUUUCAAACAGGG
ensembl:snoRNA